CCCUGUUUUACACACUUGUCGUUGGGGAGAAUAAAGGCGAGAAUCGAACAUGUUUUUACUUGUUGAGUUUGAAAUCUAAUGUGUGGAGCGUUAUCGGAGAAGUGAAGUAUAGAUUACUUACUAAGACUGGUAUCUUAUGCAAUGGUGCGCUUCACUGGCUUGUAGGAGAUAAUGAAAAAACGAAAAAGCUAAUUAUUUUUUAUGAUUUAUCUAAAGAGGAAUUUAAAAAAAUCCCCUUGCUACCUGACGACGCUAGAUAUGAUAGUUCUUCUCAUAGCUACCUGGGAGUUAUGGAAGAAUGUCUAUGCAUAUUUUGGCGGCUGCAGCCUUGUUGUGCUGUCAUAGGGCCAACGGAAAAGUACAACAAUGUAAAACAGUCAUGGGAACCGUUGUCGCAAUAUGAUUCUAACAUGAAUUAUGAUAGUAUACACUACUUGAGUAGACCGACGAAUCAUACGUUGAAUGAGAGUUUCUUCCAUCCUGAUGAACCAUGGUUUACCGGGACGUUCGGAUAUAUUGACGCCCCUGUAUUUGUGCAAAGCCUUGUAUCUCCCCAUGUUUACGGGAGGCCGAUGUAGGACAAGAGGAGUGCUAAGUUAAUGUGAGGAGAUGGAGGGAGAUCCAAUGCCACAAUUUGUAGCAGUUUACAUUUUCUGCCUUAUAAUUCUUCUAGUUUCUAGUAUCUUUAAUUUUAUGGAUUCAGUAAUUGUUAACUUAUCUAUAACUAUCAAAAUUACAUGGAGCAGCUAUCUCUGUGCAUAAAGAGCUUCUUAUAUGUAUAACAUAUUUUGUUAUACUUGGUAGCUUCUAAAUGAGAUUGCAAUAUUCAGUACUGUC